AGGACGAACGCUGGCGGCGUGCUUAACACAUGCAAGUCAAGGGGGGCCGCAAGGUCAACCGGCGAACGGGUGCGUAACACGUGAGCAACCUGCCUAAGUGUGGGGGAUAGCCGGCCCAACGGCCGGGUAAUACCGCAUACGAUCACUAUUUGGCAUCAUUUGGUGAUGAAACUUUCGAGGCACUUAGAGGGCUCGCGGCCUAUCAGUCUUGGUUGGUGGGGUAAUCGGCCUACCGAAGGCCUACGGACGGGUAGCUGGUCGUGAGAGGAGUGGCCAGCCACGUAGUUGGGACUGAGACUACCGGCCCAGACCGUCCGUACGGGACG
rnacentral:rRNA from 1 species